UACUAUUAUUAUUUUUUUAAGUUUGAGCCAAAAGCGGCUUUACCUUUGACACGGUGUAGAAGACAAAUCGGUGAAAUUUCCUUUUGAUGUGGAGGAGGAAGCCUGCCAAACUUUAAUAGUAGGUUCUCCCCUUUUGGAGGUUGGAGUUUUAGUAGGGUAUCGAGAGGUCUUCAUAUGGGCAGCAAGGAGGUUCUUCCAAUGUUGCAGAAUCUUUUUUGUCUUUUUUUUUUUUUUUUUUUGCUUCUCCUCUUGCUGCUCUCCUGGGUGUUGGGCUGUCGGUUCUGGUUGCUGGUUCAUUCCCAUUUUUGCCCAAUUUUAAGGAUUCAAGUCCUUACUCAAUCUGUCAAAUCUAGGUUUUAUGGGCUUGAGUUUGUGCAAUCUACGUUGUUCUAAAUGUUUGCAAAGUGGUUUGUUUACUUUCUGCAGAUUUGUUGUUUAUGGUAAUGCUCAUUAGUAGUUCGCAUUCUUGGUUGGCUAUGCUUUUUGCUUACUCAAUUCAUGAGCACUUUUAGGAUAUGUUUUCUCUCUUGAAAGAGUUCUAUUUGAGGUCAUAGGUUUGGAUUUCUUUGCUAUCAGCUCAUAUUUCUUGGAAGUGUUGAUAGUUUCUUUUGGUGUUACUGUUUUCUGUUUUUGGAGUUUAUAUUUGAUUUUCUUCUCUUGUACUGUU